CGUAGGCAUUCCUCCAUAACACGCACAGACAUUUCCCCUUACUUUCUAGGAGGAAAAAAGUGAGUGUUAUGGUGCAAAAAAUACGGUAACUAUCUGCAUACAUUCAUUCCUACUUACCAGCCAUAACUCAACAAGAGAACUCUAAUGCUUUAUAAUGCACACAUUAUUAUUUUUCUAAGUAUGAAAGCUAAAAGCACUACAGUUAUGUGAAGAUAUAAUAUUUUAAAGUUUCAUGGCACAAAUUUAAAUUAAUAAAACAGAAGCUUCCAGCAUACCUAUCUAUUACUAUUUUGUUAAAAUUAAAAAUAGACAAGAGGUUACCUUGAACACUUAUCUUCCAGAUGUUGUUGGAUUCCGACUCCAUCAUCCCUAACAAUUGGCAGAGCUAUCUGAAGCUGAUGGCAGUUGGCAUCCCACAACAUCUGCUGGGCCAAAGAUUCCCCACCCCUGCUUUAUCAUUUACCAGCUGUACAUAAAUUUAUUUUUCAAAAAUCAAAUUUUCAUUCCUUAUAAAGAGUUUCUGUCAUUGUUUUCAGAGCCUAUUAGAGCAUUGAAAUGUAUAAGAGUAUUACUAUAAAAUCAUAUUGCCUUAUUUAAAUCCAGGUAUCUUUUCCUAGCCAAAAAACAAAAUUGUGCUAUCACUUAACAUAGAUUCCUGAAGGUAUAACAAACUAUUCAAGAUUGCUUUAACUUGGGGGUUCUCAACCUUUCUGUCUACUUAAGAGAGCUGAAAAACACCAAGACCAACCCCCACUAAAAAGUGGUACAAGGGAACAGCCAGUUCCAAAAUAGUGCGAGAUGAAAGCAGUUUGGCAUAAUCAGCGGAUAUCUAAUCCAUCUUUCCAAAUUGCUAAAUUCGUUCCCACAGUGUUCUCCUGAUGACAAGGUGUUUCAAAGCUAAGCUUUCCUCAGGUCUGCUCUGGAGUUAUUGUUACUCAUCUUUGUAAAGAGGAGUUUUACUUGUAUAUCUAUCCUAUCCCAUCAUUACGUGCCUCUCAAAGUCUUUAUAGCCAUUUCCUGUAAUUUCUUCUGCCAUUCUCUUUUUGCCCUCAACUUGUACCUUAUUUCCACCCAACCAAAAAAGCCUGCCAGUUUCUUUCAUCCCUCUUUCCUGGUCCUUGCACAUUCAUUUUUGCUCAUAUAAUAGUUUUCUUUUUUUACCCCUUCCUAUUACCAGCUGAUUAAUGAUAAUAAAUGUUAACCUGUUACCUGUCUCUAAUUUUCUUCAACACCUUCACUGGCCCUUUUACAUCAGAAGAGGAAGAGCGACCUUUCUCCCCACCCUCAUUUUUCUGGCUCUUGCUCAUUUAUUCAAGCAGUAUUCACGGAGUGGCUGGUGCUGCAUUGGUCCAAUGAAGAGGGCAAGCAAGUUUGCAUUGGGCAGGCUGUGCUAGUGAUGUCCAUCUGAAAGUGGCCCCAAACUCACUUGUGGGCCCUAGUCUGAUGUCUAAGAAGCACUGCUUUAUGAGUAGGAAAAGGUGUGACACAUGUAUGUGUGCGAAGCAGUAGUCAUAGGCAAUAAUCAUUCAUCCUGCCUAUAUCCCCUGGGAAGCUCCAGCUAAUCAUGGCUUUCUAUUAUUGAAUUAGAAAUAAGCUACUACAGGAUAAUGAUAUGAAGCAGCAUACAAAAUUUGUAAAUAAAAGUAUUGCCACACUUUUUAAAAGUGAAUAUCUCAAAAAAAGAAAAAAAAAGUCCCACCUGAAGUGGAGUUCACCUAUUUCAGAAGAGCUGAGCAAAAAAUUUAUAUUGUACCAGGGUUGGUCCUGAACUAUCUUCAUCAUAGAUAAACUGCAACCGAGAAUUUGAUGAUCUGGCUAGUUAUACUUCUAUUUCUGUGAUCCUCGGCAUCCCUACUUAGAGUGAUUCUGAGAAUAGAUUGUGGUCGUUAUUCUACCUCUAACCACGCAGAGAACAAGAACAUUGUAAUGGUUUGGAUCCAGACUUGUUCCUCUGCAAUCAGAAGGGCAACCAGAACCCAGCAAAGGCUCACUGCUCAGUGAAACAGGGAUGUGAAGAAGUUAAAUGAGCCAAGCAAAAUGAAGGGUACUGUCCAGAUACAUUAACACUUGGUAUAGCAAAAUGAUAUUUAUACCUUCAUUGCAUUCAACUUUUCCAAAUGUUAUUUCACAUAAAAACCACCAGGAUGAGUUUGUUUAGUUUAAGCUAAGAACUUCAGAUGCAAUACUGUCACCACAAUCCAAAACCCUGUUUGUGAACUGGUGCUGUGGGAUUUGGUCAUAUAUGUUUCAUCUUUAAUCACAUACUUAGGAAUUAGAAUAAAUUAUCUUCUGAAUUUGAUUGAUGGUUAAUCUGCCAUGCUCAUGUGCCAUCCUUAAUCUGUUUUUCCCUGUGACAAAUUUCCUCUGAGAAAGUAUAUUUUCAGGCAACUAUGAAUGCUCAAGAGAGCUCAUUGAAAUAUUAAUUUAGCAAUCUAUUUUAAUAAUGUAUACUGAAAACUGGUUAUUUGAAUCUAUGGGCUUGUGUUUUAGAAGAGAAUCAAAACUAUUAAAUCCUCUUAUCUCAAAUUGUUGGAGCAUUUUUAAAACUGUUACUUCUACAUAAAGGACCACAAUCAAAUUAAUGAUUAUGCCUUAAUGAGCAAUAAUUAUGUAAAGAUCUUUAGACUCAGUAAGUUAUACUCAUUUAAUUUUACACUACUUUGGGUAAAACCAAUAAUACGUCUUAAUUUUAGUUCCUUGUUCUUAAUUUCAGAAUAGAUUGCAGUGAUACUAAAAAAAGCAGGGGUUCGGUUUCCUAUGAAUGAGAAUAAAAAAGAUUGCCAUAGGCUGUUGAUGGUUGAUAGCACAAGAUUAGUUUUCAGAACAAAUUAGAACUGGAAAGAAUGCUUAUGUUAAAAGAAGAAGCUCUAUAAAGUUCUGUGGACUUUAUAGUUUUUAAUGUUCAUUUCAAACUCCGCUCUGGUCCACUGAAACAUGUGCUGGAAUUUGAACUCUCUUAAGUGAAUAUGGCAUGUAUUUACAGCAGAGGUGGGGAAUUUCCAGCCUUCAGGACAAUCUUGGCUCACCAGGCCAUCACUUACCCAUCAGCCGAUGUCACUGGUAACUUUGGCGGAUGGGUGGGAGAAUAGGGUUUAUUCCCAUGUUGGCUGUGCCACCCUGUUUCCAGCUGGGAACAAGAUCAUGCCGCAUAGGCAGCAGAAUUUAAACUCUACCCAUCAGACAUUAAAACCCUUUCCUUUUCCUUUAAUCAGCCAGGGGGUGGCAUGCAGAUGGGAAAUGCUGCCACCCCCCUGCUUACAGAAGAAGUAGAGCAGCUUCCCCACAUUUGCAGGAGGGGGAAGGGUGCUUUGCCACUUUAAAGCAGUCCCUGUGCUCCUGAUAGAAAUGUAGGGGAGAGAUACUACAUUUAGAACUCUUUCAUAAGGGUACUUUACUCAAUGGGUACAAACAACCUAGUGGGAAACAAUAUUACAUUUUACUACAAUUAGUGCAUCAAGUGCUAACUUUGUACUUUUAGGCCACAAGCUUAUACACACAACAUUGGGAACCAAUGGGACUUACUUUUGCAUAGACGUGUGCAGGAUUUUACUGCUAAGGGAUCUCAGCUGUGCCUAUAUUUUCUUGAUUUAUCGAAUAUAUUUUAAAAAUAACAAGGGAACAGCCUGUGUGUUUUGUUUGCCUGAGUUUAAAUGCCGUGUUGCUUCCAGAUGGGGACGGAGAAAACAAGGCUGGAAAAGGACAGGAACUUAUGCUAGGAGUCAUCCCACCAUUAUCCUGUGCAAGUAAACUGUUGUCCAGGAAGGCCAAAAGAACUAAUGUGCACUUUGAAAACGGGUGGCCAUACAUGUGGAAGAACAUCAUAUUAUAAAAUGUAUGAGUAACCAAAUGAUGCCUACCUUAUUUGUUGCAUCAAUAAAUUUUACCCCUUUAUAAGAGACUGAUAAAACAAUAGUAGGAACUUUCUUCAUUUGUUCUGUAGACUUCUGAAAUUAAAAACAAACAUGAAA